ACGCUGGCGGCAUGCCUAACACAUGCAAGUCGAACGAGACCGUUCGGGUCGUAGUGGCGCACGGGUGCGUAACACGUGGGAAUUUGCCUCGGGGUAUGGAAUAACUCAGGGAAACUUGAGCUAAUACCAUAUAAUGUCUUCGGACCAAAGAUUUAUCGCCCUGAGAUAAGCCCGCGUAGGAUUAGCUAGUUGGUGGGGUAAAGGCUCACCAAGGCGACGAUCCUUAGCUGGUCUGAGAGGAUGAUCAGCCACACUGGGACUGAGACACGGCCCAGACUCCUACGGGAGGCAGCAGUGGGGGAAUAUUGGACAAUGGGCGAAAGCCUGAUCCAGCAAUGCCGCGUGAGUGAUGAAGGCCUUCGGGUUGUAAAGCUCUUUUACUCGGGACGAUAAUGACGGUACCGAGAGAAUAAGCCCCGGCUAACUCCGUG
rnacentral:rRNA from 1 species